rnacentral:rRNA from 1 species
GAUGAACGCUGGCGGCGUGCCUAAUACAUGCAAGUCGAGCGAACGGACGAGAAGCUUGCUUCUCUGAUGUUAGCGGCGGACGGGUGAGUAACACGUGGAUAACCUACCUAUAAGACUGGGAUAACUUCGGGAAACCGGCGCUAAUACCGGAUGAUAUUUUGAACCGCAUGGUUCAAAAGUGAAAGACGGUCUUGCUGUCACUUAUAGAUGGAUCCGCGCUGCAUUAGCUAGUUGGUAAGGUAACGGCUUACCAAGGCAACGAUGCAUAGCCGACCUGAGAGGGUGAUCGGCCACACUGGAACUGAGACACGGUCCAGACUCCUACGGGAGGCAGCAGUAGGGAAUCUUCCGCAAUGGGCGAAAGCCUGACGGAGCAACGCCGCGUGAGUGAUGAAGGUCUUCGGAUCGUAAAACUCUGUUAUUAGGGAAGAACAUAUGUGUAAGUAACUGUGCACAUCUUGACGGUACAUAAUCAGAAAGCCACGGCUAACUACGUG